rnacentral:rRNA from 1 species
AUUGAACGCUGGCGGAAUGCUUUACACAUGCAAGUCGAACGGCAGCACGGGGCACCCUGGUGGCGAGUGGCGAAAGGGUGAGUAAUACAUCGGAACGUGCCCAGUCGUGGGGGAUAACGUAGCGAAAGUCACGCUAAUACCGCAUACGAUCUAAGGAUGAAAGCGGGGAAUCGCAAGACUCCGCGCGAUUGGAGCGGCCGAUGUCAGAUUAGGAAGUUGGGGGGGUAAAGGCCCACCAAGCCGACGAUCUGUAGCUGGUCUGAGAGGACGACCAGCCACACUGGGACGGAGACACGGCCCAGACUCCUACGGGAGGCAGCAGUGGGGAAUUUUGGACAAUGGGCGCAAGCCUGAUCCAGCCAUUCCGCGUGCAGGAUGAAGGCCUUCGGGUUGUAAACUGCUUUUGUACGGAGCGAAAAGGCUCUCUCUAAUACAGGGGGCUCAUGACGGUACCGUAAGAAUAAGCACCGGCUAACUACGUGCCAGCCGCCGCCGUAAGAC